rnacentral:rRNA from 1 species
CCUACGGGCGGCAGCAGUGGGGAAUAUUGGGCAAUGGGCGCAAGCCUGACCCAGCAACGCCGCGUGAAGGAAGAAGGCUUUCGGGUUGUAAACUUCUUUUAAGAGGGAAGAGCAGAAGACGGUACCUCUUGAAUAAGCCACGGCUAACUACGGGCCAGCAGCCGCGGUAAUACGUAGGUGGCAAGCGUUGUCCGGAUUUACUGGGGGUAAAGGGCGUGUAGCCGGGCUGACCAGUCAGAUGUGAAAUCCCGUGGCUCAACCACGGACCUGCAGUUGAAACUGGCGGUCUUGAGUACCGGAGAGGCAGGCGGAAUGCGUGGUGUAGCGGUGAAAUGCGUAGAUAUUAGGAGGAACCCCAGUGGCGAAGGCGGCGUGCUGGACGACAACUGACGGUGAGGCGCGAAAGCGUGGGGAGCGAACAGGAUUAGAUACCCGGGUAGUC